GACAAAGUCUAGGGGUAUGAUUCUCGCUUGGGGUGCGAGAGUUCCCGGGUUCAGCUCCCGGACG